AGAGUUUGAUCCUGGCUCAGGACGAACGCUGGCGGCGUGCUUAAUACAUGCAAGUCGAACGAGGUCCAUCCCGUGGCAACACGGGUGAAGACCGAGUGGCGAACGGGUGCGUAACACGUGAGGAACCUGCCCCGGACUCUGGAAUAACAGUGGGAAACCAUUGCUAAUACCGGAUGUCUCCACCAUCUCGCAUGGGACGGUGAAGAAAGAUCUAUCGGUUCGGGAGGGCCUCGCGGCCUAUCAGCUUGUUGGUGGGGUAACGGCCUACCAAGGCGUCGACGGGUAGCUGGUCUGAGAGGAUGAUCAGCCACACUGGGACUGAGACACGGCCCAGACUCCUACGGGAGGCAGCAGUAGGGAAUCUUGCGCAAUGGGCGAAAGCCUGACGCAGCAACGCCGCGUGGGGGAUGACGGCCCUCGGGUUGUAAACCCCUUUCAGCAGGAACGAAAAUGACGGUACCUGCAGAAGAAGGCCCGGCCAACUACGUGCCAGCAGCCGCGGUAACACGUAGGGGCCAAGCGUUGUCCGGAUUUAUUGGGCGUAAAGAGCUCGUAGGCGGUUCAGUCAGUCGGGUGUGAAAACUCUGGGCUCAACUCAGAGACGCCACCCGAUACUGCUGUGACUUGAGUCCGGUAGGGGAGCAGGGAAUUCCAGGUGUAGCGGUGAAAUGCGCAGAUAUCUGGAGGAACACCGGUGGCGAAGGCGCUGCUCUGGGCCGGUACUGACGCUGAGGAGCGAAAGCGUGGGUAGCAAACAGGAUUAGAUACCCUGGUAGUCCACGCCGUAAACGUUGGGCACUAGGUGUGG
rnacentral:rRNA from 1 species